UCCCUGGUGGCUCAGAGGUUAAAGCGUCUGCCUGCAAUGCGGGAGACCUGGGUUCAAUCCCUGGGUUGGGAA
rfam:Ovis aries breed Texel chromosome 4, whole genome shotgun sequence.